GAGAUAUCACUGACUACAGGGAUGUAAACUCUAGGAAGUCUCAGAGAAGCCAGUGCAGGGUACUCCCGACAAACCCACUCUUACCAUCUUCAGGCUCUGAAGGGCACAGUUUCAAGAGGGAUGAAUUAUCUGGAAUGAGGUUGAGGCUGCUCUGUACCUACGAAGACAAAAGGGGGAAGAGGAGGUGGGUCUCACAUCCUGCCAACCCUACUUAAGACAAGAAUGGCUCUUCCCUCGAUUCCAGCACUUGUCUUCUCUAAGGACUCCAAUCCCUGAAGCGCAUCUAGAAGGCCAGCUUCCCUCGAUCGUCCCUCGAUCUCUCUCAGCCUCCCUCUACCCGAAGAUACAAUCCCAGAUAACUCCAUACAUCUAACAUUACCGACCCCCUCGUAUCUCCAAUCUAAAAGUAUUCAUCACACACACACACUGCCCCAAGCCAAACCCGCCACGCCAGUCUUAGCACUCCCCCAACAACCCUCCUUGGGGACCUUGCUGCACCUUCCCGGAGUACACUGGGACCACCGGCGCCUCUCCGGGAUCCAGCAGCCGCCGCCGCCGCCGUCGCACCAAUGUACGCGGGGCUCCCGCAGGCCCCUCGGCCGCCCCUUCACUGUCACUGUCGCUGUCCUGCUCAGGUUUAGCCGGCGCGGGGAGGCGGGCGACCGGCACCUCUACUGGGUCUGCGACUUCCAAGACCUCUUCGUCGCUGUCACUGACCAAGUCCACAAGCACGGUGUCUGGAAUGAGCCUAGCCGGAGACUGCCGGGCGCGAGGACACCGGCCACGGGCGCCUCGGGCUCUCCGAGCGCCUCGGCCACCGCGGGACCUCGGACCACGUCCCCUCAGUGGUUCCGCCAUCUCCCACACUGCUUCCACAAACACCGGCCUCUACACAGUCACCGGCCCACCGUAUUAGCGUCUGUCCCUUUCAUUGGACGAACAGCCUGCCGGUCAUCAUCUCUUCCCGCCCACACGCUCUGGAUCCGCCUAUCCACGUUCUCAUUGGUCUACUUACCUGUCUAUCACCUACCCUCCACUAAAACAAAGGCGCCAAAGAUUCCAAUCUCUUUGGUACAAUCAAAAAAGGUUUCGAUUCUGUACAGUUCAUCCAUUGGCUAAAUUUCCUCCUGACCCAGCCUUCCCCAGGGCCCGCCCAUUAGAGAAAUCCAUUUUCCUGGUUGGUGAAAGACUGGCGCAUCCUGGGAAUUGUAGUCCUCAUUCUCGGAAGCCACAGAAAAAGCCUUGUGGAACUAAGGUUAGAAGCUGAAGAUCUUGGGCUGUGGAUUCCUUUUGUGUCCUCAACCUCUGUGUGGCAGGAGUUCCAUUCCACACUAAACACCUUCAUGCAUGUCACCUCUGAAAUACUCUACAAACACAAUAUCAAAACAAUAUAUGUCAUAGCACAGCACAACUCAGAAACACUUUUUAAGACAAUUACAAAUUAAAAUAAGAGACUUACUUCCCUGUUGCAAAGAAAAGAGGCUUCCUUCUGGCUCCUCUUUCCUGAUCAUUGAAAUAUGAAUGCUUCUCGGUUUACAGCGGGGUUACUCUUGAUAAAGGCCUUGCUGCCGCUUAUCUGCACAAUGUACUACAGAGCACCAGGGUUCAUGCUCGUGAUUGUAGACUGACUGGGAGCUAGCUGCGCUUUCCAGCAACAUGCUAUGCACACUUAGCUCGUUUGGGAAACAAUACAACUUCAAAACUCAGAAAGGUCUGAAUUCUGAGAGGUCUUUGAUGGUUUAAUGUUUGUCUGCUGGUCAAUACCCUGCUGGCAUUCACUCAUGCAUGUGGAAAUUAACUGAAAAAAAUGUAAGUACUGUCAGUACCAUGGUUGUGCAUAUGCUAAUCCUUCUAAUGUCUUAAUAAACCCCUUGCCUUUUCACAACUC
rnacentral:lncRNA from 1 species